rnacentral:rRNA from 1 species
AUGGCGAGCUUUAACGCCGCCGGCGCCGGCGCCGCCAACCCCAACCCUAACAAAUCCCUCGAGGUGAAUCCGGCGCCCGGGGACUCGGUUUCCAGCCUCAGCUUCAGCCCCAAGGCGAAUCACCUGAUUGCCACCUCCUGGGACAACCAGGUUCGGUGCUGGGAGGUUCAGCCUGGCGGCCAAUGCCAGGCGAAGGCGUCUAUUUCGCACGAUCAGCCAGUCUUGUGCUCUGCCUGGAAGGAUGACGGGACUACUGUUUUUUUGGGAGGGUGUGACAAAGUGGUAAAGAUGUGGCCGCUGCUGUCUGGCGGGCAGGCCACGGCCUUCUCAGGGCACGAGGCGCCGGUCAAAGAACUUGCCUGGAUACCACAGAUGAGCCUUCUUGUCAGUGGGUCUUGGGAUAAGACUUUGAGGUACUGGGACAUUCGACAACCUAACCCAGCUCAUGUUCAGCAACUUCCGGAGCGCUGCUAUGCACUCUCACUUAGUUAUCCUCUAAUGGCGGUCGGUACUGCUGAUCGCAACGUAGUUAUCUUCAAUCUUCAGAAUCCACAGGCUGAAUUCAAGAGGAUUGUGUCACCUUUGAAAUUCCAGACAAGGUGUAUCGCUGCCUUCCCAGAUCAACAAGGAUUCUUGGUCGGAUCAAUAGAGGGACGCGUUGGUGUUCAUCAUGUGGAUGAUUCUAAUCAAAGCAAGAAUUUCACAUUCAAAUGUCAUCGCGAGGGCACUGAUAUAUUCUCUGUUAACUCGCUGAACUUUCAUCCUGUGCACCAUACAUUUGCUACUGCAGGCUCUGAUGGAGGUUUCAACUUUUGGGACAAGGACAGUAAACAAAGAUUGAAGGCUUUUAGUAAGUGCCCAUCACCCAUCACAUGCAGCACAUUCAAUCAGGAUGGCUCAAUCUUUGCUUAUGCGGUAUGCUAUGAUUGGAGCAAGGGUGCCGAGAAGCAUAAUCCUUCUACUGCAAAGACAAAUAUCUUUCUGCAUAGCGUGCAGGAAUCUGAUGUCAAAGGAAAGCCCCGUACUGGAAAAAAGUAG